CUUCAGUGGACUUAUUGUCCAUUGUUUUGUAGUACAUUUUCUCCAGUGCAGUUUUGUUUUCCAUCAAAAAGAAAAAAAAUAUAUGUCCCAUCUUUGGUGUAUGGUUAUGGCAAUUGUAUAUCAGCCUUCUUUGACUAUAAUUUUCAACUCAAAUCACAAACAAAUUCCUCCUCAUUUUGAAAAGUUGCUGUGCCCAUCUUCGUUUCUCCUGUUGACGUUAGCUCCACUACUGUCAUUCCCCUCUAACCGUAGGCUCAGAGAGGCAGAGUGUUACACAAGAGUACGUGAGGUUUUUUUAACUCUCUGAUACAUAAAGAAUCUGCCUCAUUACCUUUCCAUUUCCUUUUGACGUUCAAAGGGUGCCCAAAGAUCCAUUUUCAUUUUAGCAUUUUGUUUUAACAUUCCUUUUAUUUUCCCUUAUUUAUCUUGAAUUACUUUUUACCAAUGCCUCAAGUCCAUCUUAUUACUGGUAAUGAAUGCUCCUGCAAUUUUGGGUUGUUCUUGUACAUCUUAUGUACUUAUAAACUGUUUUUUCUAGUUCUGUUAUUAUUGCUUUCUUUUUCUCGUUUUUAUAAUUAACUCACCGUAAUGCAUAUAGCAUGCUUACAACCCAAAUGAGGAGUAUGCAGAUGUGGAAUCCACAUUGCGUUCGCAUUUGGAAUCUUUUCUAGAAACUACAAGAUCAUUCAAUAUGAUUUACACCAAGGAAAUACGUCCCUGGACACACAUGAUGGAGGUACCCCAGCUCCAUGGGUUCGGGCCUGCAGCCAAUCGCUUAUUGGAGGCAUAUAAGAUGCUUUUGAAGAAACCUGUCGAGGAUAAUGUUGAGAAGAAGAAGAAAAGGAAAGAGAUAGGGGAGGAGAGGUAGCAGCCAAUACAUCCAAGCAGAUACUGAUCAAGUGCGAAAUGAGUGGGAGAAGUUUGUUGUCAACACAUAUGUGCAUGAGCCGUGAAGUAGCGCGCUUGUUGCUGGUCCAUUUUUGCUAAGGAAAGCAUCUUUCUUUGUGCUUCUCUGCUGGUACAUUGUCAUGCACCAUGUGUUGCAUGUUUUGGAACAAUGGAUAUAUAUGUAUCAACUUUUUGAUGUCCCAAGUAGAUGGGCAUGCACUAGAAUGUUUUUCUUGUGUAAAAUGUUGGUUUCAAUGAUUGGGAAAUGUAU